UUUUGACUUUAUUAUUUCCCCAUUUUGCAGAUGGGGAGAUAAAGAGCCAGAGAGCUAAGUGACUGUCCGAGGUUAAAGCAAGGGCAGGCCCAGAUCUUCUGCUUCUGGUCCUCCGCUGUCGGGAAACAGGCCAUGAGCUGGAGGAUAAAUCAAGGAGGUGGCACUGGGGACAGACGGCAGCUGCAAAGCAAAGGCCAGGGACACCACAGAAACUGCCUCCUCCUCUCUGCUCUGCACUGUGAACAGCCUCAGAAUCCCGAGCAAGAAAUUCCCUUGGUUCCCUGGGCUACACUCGCUGCCCUGAAUUGCAGGGCCCAAGGCCAGUUUGUGCUGGCAGCAGCCCAGGCACAUGGCUCUGCUCUGCGGACUGGGGUACCUGCCCUCACCCUUUAAUCCUAUCAUCAUGUCAUGAAUCAACCCCAGCAUCACAUCCUUAAUCCCAGCGUCACAUACCCUAGAUCCAGCCACCUCCAAAAAGCCCCACUUAUGACCUCACGAGGCUUUGGAAGACAUCUAGAUACAAGCCAGAACACCCAUCAUUUUAUUCUCUUCACUUAAGAUAACUUAUUUAUUGU
rnacentral:lncRNA from 1 species